CCCGCGGCUUGGGCUGCGCAGCCGAACCGUCCUGCCUCGGCCUCCCUGGAGCGCACGGCAUGGGCACGCGCGGGCCCCGACCGCUGGUGGACACCACGCCGGCCAAGACCAUCCUCGUGUACCGCAACGGGGACCAGUUCUACAUGGGCCGCAAGUUCGUGCUCUCGCGGCGCCGCGUGGCCACGUUCGAGGCGCUGCUGGAGCAGCUGACCGAUCACGUGGCUGUGCCCUUUGGGGUGCGGCGCCUCUACACGCCCACGCGGGGCCACCAGGUGCUUGAGCUCGAUGCGGUGCAGACGGGAGCCAAGUACGUGGCGGCGGGCCGCGAACGCUUCAAGAAACUCGAUUAUAUUCAUAUAGUUCCCAGAAAACCUUCCAAGAUAAGAAAGCUGAAGGAAAUCAAACCUGUGGUGCAUUGCGAUAUAAAUGUGCCGUCCAGGUGGCAAACAUGUCAUCGAAUAUACCGUCAUAUAAAUGUUUUUACAAAUGGAAAGUUAUUUAGCCCACCUAUAAAAAUUAUCAUACCCAAAUUCAGCCUGUCAGAUUGGAGUAGCGUGCUGGCCACGAUCGGAGAAAAAGUCUUCCCUCUUGGAGGAGUGCGGAAGUUAUUUACCAUGAACGGACAUCUCUUAGACAACUCCAAGGAUUUGCAAGACAAUCAUUUUUAUGUUGCUGCAGGGCUGGAGACCUUCAAACACUACCCUUAUUGGAGGUCCCCCAGAGUCCCCAGUGAGGUCCAACAGAGAUACGCCGACUUGGAAAAGUGUUCACAGAGAAAGAAAAAAGUGGAGGCCAAAGAACUUCCUAAAUGUGAAGACAUUCCACCUGAAACGAAGGAUUCGGUUUAUUAUGCCAAAGAAGGAAAGAAGAAAACGUUGAUAGAACCUUUCAUCCUAAGUGGUGCAGAAGGUGAUGUGUACAAAGCCCGAACUCCUACCAAGGAUGCCCAAGGGGCUCUGGAUGUCAAGGAGGAUGCAGAUGUGAAGGUGGAGGUGCCAGUGGACCAGGUACCAGCUGAAAUGGUUAAAGAAGUGGACGAUGCUCAUGACAACACUCCUAAUUUUGAAGGCAUCAAGGAAAAAGAAGAAGAAAAGUGUUAUGAAGAUAUUGAAAAAAAGGGAGACAAUUCACGAGUGUCUUUUAAGAAAAUGUUUCCCUUAAGACACAACACAAAGAAAAAAGAAAAGAGGUUUAUAAAGUGGAUGCCUCAGAUAUUAAAAUACGAAGGUGGGAUUGACGUCCCUUUGGAGAAGUACCUCUGCGCCCCAGAGCGCCACCUAGUGACCAGAAAAGAACUCACCGGGCAACACAUGUAUAAAACGAUGCUUAGGACGCCGACGUGGUGCAAAGGAGAGCAAGCCCUGACCCUACACCCCAAAGACCUGGUAGUAGCCCUGGAGCUGCUCUGGAGGGGCUGCGUCAGCACAGGCCAGCUGCAGGGGCCCCACGUCCUCGUGGCAUCUCUCAAGAACUUCAACAAGAAUAAAAAAGUGGUUCCGCUUCCUGAAAAAGAACAAUAUGACAUUCUAGAGGGAAAAAAUACAUCUGUACUACGAGAAACUCCAGUAGAAAUAGAAGCCCAAAGACCAACACCAGUGGAACUGCGAACACAAGAACAUUUGUCACCAACACAAGGAGAACAAAGACUUGAGACACCACAACCUCCCGAAAGGUCAUCUUCUGAACAAACAUCGAAACAACAAACACCCGAGACACCACAGUCUCCUGAACCAUUGUCCUUUGAAAAAACAUCUCAAGGACAAAGACUCAAGACACCAAAAUCUCCUGAGUCAUUGUCCUCAGCAAAAACUUCCCAAGGACAAAGAUCCCAGACACCAAAAUCUUCUGAAUCAUUGUUCUCUGAGAAACCAUCUGAAAGACAAAGACCCAAGACACCCAAAUCUCCUAAACCAUUGUCCUCUGCAAGAUCAUCCCAAGGACAAAGAUCUCAGACCCCCAAAUCUCCUGAAUCAUUGUUCUCUGCAAAAACAUCCCAAGGACAAAGAUCCCAGACACCAGAAUCUCCUGAACCAUUGUCCUCUGAGAAACCAUCCCAAGGACAAAGAUCUGAGAUGCCAAAAUCUCCUGGACAAUUGCCUUUGGAACAGCUAUCCCAGGAACAAAGUCCUGAGCCACAGGAGUCCCCUCAGCCAUUAACCUUGGGACAAUGAGCUCAGAUACACAUGACUCAGGGACCAGAAGACAUACAAAUGCCACAAAAACAAAAUAUCAGCUGUGUUGUGAAGAGCAACCUUCUGAGGCUGAAAAGGAUCAUGAGACGAAUGAAAAUAAAAUUAUACACUUUUCCCCAUUUUAUGUGAAAGAGAUGACCUGGGAGUAGCAACCAACACCUCAACCCAAACACCUUUCUGUCUAUUUGAUGUCUUUUCUUCAACCGUGGGCUUGCACUUUGCACAUGGACAUUUUAACAGCAGGGAAACCAUGUUUGAGGAGAAACUAACGCCCCAUCCUGGUGACUUGUCAAAAGCUAAGAACAUUUGCCUAUGUAGUCCAUUGCACCACUUCCUUUGCCUGGUGAUAUUCUUUUUAGUAAACAUUUAAAAGAAUGAAA